rnacentral:rRNA from 1 species
GGAAAGUUUAGUGGGCGAACGGGUGCGUAACACGUGGGCAAUCUGCCUUAAAGUGGGGGAUAGCUCGGCGAAAGCCGAAUUAAUACCGCAUGUGAUUAGAGGUGACAUCACUUCGACAUCAAAGCCGGAGCAAUCUGGCGCUUUCUGUGGAGCCCGCGGCCUAUCAGCUUGUUGGUGAGGUAACGGCUCACUCAAGGCUUUGACGGGUAGCUGGUCUGAGAGGACGACCAGUCACACUGGAACUGAGACACGGUCCAGACACCUACGGGUGGCAGCAGUCGAGAAUUUUUGACAAUGGGGGAAACCCUGAUCGAGCGACGCCGCGUGGAGGAUGAAGGUCUUCGGGUUGUAAACUCCUGUCAUUUGGGAACAAGCUCUUCACGUUAACUGCGUGGAGAUUGAUAGUACCAGAAGAGGAAGAGACGGCUAACUCUGUGCCAGCAGCCGCGGUAAUACAGAGGUCUCAAGCGUUGUUCGGAUUCAUUGGGCGUAAAGGGUGUGUAGGUGGCGCGCUAAGUCGGGUGUGAAAUUUUGGAGCUUAACUCCGAAACUGCAUUCGAUACUGGCGUGCUUGAGGACUGGAGAGGAGACUGGAAUUCAUGGUGUAGCAGUGAAAUGCGUAGAGAUCAUGAGGAAGACCAGUGGCGAAGGCGGGUCUCUGGACAGUUCCUGACACUGAGACACGAAGGCCAGGGGAGCAAACGGGAUUAGAUACCCCGGUAGUNCCUGGCAGUAAACGCUUGCACGUUUGGUGUGGGAGGAUUCGACCCCUUCUGCGCCGGAGACUAACGCGUUAAACGUGCCGUC